GUCCAUAAUGAAGUUCUGUUGGAACCUGGCCACUUGUGUUUGUUCCUGGGGUUCCCACAGUUGCUGCUUACUGUAGAGGUCUGGCUCUGUAUGAGGGAACGGGAGGGACUCCAUGGGCCACAGAACAGCCUUUACUACUGACUGCUCGAACACAAGUUUGCUUGCCCUCACUGUAGAGCAUGCAGUGGCUCAAAGGGUUUGGGAGUCAGGGUUACUCUCUGGAACAAUGAUACUGGAAACUUCUGACUGAAGGAUAGCGGAAGGGAGGGACAUGCUGGCUUCCGGUUCUCAGUGACAGACAGGCAUGGUAGUGUAUGCCUUUAUUCACAGCUCUCCAGGAGUCAGAGGAGGGUGGAAGGUUGACGAGAACCCAGGCCAGCCAAGAAGAGACGGAGAGGGAGGGAAAGAAAGAGAGACAGACAGACAGACAGACAGACAGAGGACCUCAAGAGGAAUGGAUGUCAGAUGCUUUCAAGUAGCUGUCUCUUUCCAUAGCAGUGCCACCCGAGACAGAAGGCACCAGCAACUGAAAGCCCCAAGUUAUGCCGACACCUAAUUUAUCAGUUCUGUUGUCCUCUUAGACGUCAGCUCCAGCUCUGAGUAAAGCCACAGUCUUCCCUUGUCACUUCUUGCUGCCACCCUCCUAGUCAGUGAGGAGAGACUCAGUCAGUCUCCUGGAGCCAGAGCUGCCCUAACUCUAAGAAGGGAGUUUUCUCAGCUCCUCCCACAGCCAGCCAAUUAAGAGUUCAAAAGCAAACAAACAAGAACACCUGAGAUGUGAGGUCACUUAGGCCUUGUGGGUGCUCUGACUCCAGAGGUCACCUGACUUCCUGUCCUUCCCUCACGUUCUCAACAUGGCUUCAGUCAUGAUCCUAACUAAACUGUAGGCCUCUCCCAUUGGACUCAUUCUUUGUAAACCUGUUAUGUACUGUGUGUGAGCCCCAGGCUGGAGAGGCAGUCUCAGGGUUAACAGCACAUAUUAUUCUUCCUGAAGGACUAGAGUUGAAUUCCCAGCACCCAUGUCAGCAGCUUAGCAACUUCCUCUAACUCCAGCUCCAGGGGAUAUGACACCUCUGGCCUCCUCAGGCACCCACACACAUGAUCUACAAACACACAUACACGUGAUUAAAUGUAAUUAAAAAACAAAACAAAACAAAACAAAAAAACAGGGGUUGGGGAGAUGGGUCAUUGGUUAAGAGCACUGACUGCUCUUCCAGAGGUCCUGAGUUCAAUUCCCAGCAACCACAUGGUGGCUCACAACCAUCUGUAAUGGGAUCUGAUGCCUUCUGGUGUGUCUCAAGAGAGCACUGGUAUACUCAUAUAAAUGAAAUAAAUAAAUCUUUUUAAAACAAACAAACAACCUGGUGGAACCUGGUGGUUCGCACCUUUUAAUCUCAGCACUUGGGAGGUAAAGACAGACGGAUCUCUGUGAGGUUGAGGUCAGCCAGAUCUACAUAGUGAGUUCCAAGAAAGCUAGGGCUAUGUAGAGAAACCCUGUCUCAAAA
rnacentral:lncRNA from 1 species